rnacentral:rRNA from 1 species
GUCCACGCCGUAACGAUGGAUGCCAGCCGUUGGCAAGCAUGCUUGUCAGUGGCGCAGCUAACGCAUUAAGCAUCCCGCCUGGGAGUACGGCCGCAAGGUUGAAACUCAAAGGAAUUGACGGGGCCCGCACAAGCGGUGGAGCAUGUGGUUUAAUUCGACGCAACGCGCAGAACCUUACCAGGGUUUGACAUCCUGUGCUCACCUCAGAAAUGGGGUUUCCCCGCAAAGGGGCGCAGAGACAGGUGCUGCAUGGCUGUCGU